rnacentral:tRNA from 1 species
GGAUGGGUGGCAGAGCGGUUUAAUGCAGCGGUCUUGAAAACCGCCGAAGGUUUAUCCCUUCCGUGAGUUCGAAUCUCACCCCAUCCG